GUACAGGGUCACCACAGAGCCACGCUAUCCUCGGAGAUGUGGUCCCUCACAGCUGCCUCCAGCUUUGCACCUGAACUAUAGGUGGCUAUCCUGGUCCUUUUGCCGGAGCUAAUUCUGGGAACUCUCUUGCUGUUCUGGGAAGCUAAUGCCCACUCUUAAGUACAAGAUGGAGGAACUUUGGUUCUUCAAAGGAAACAGGCACUGAGAAGGUUCCACGGAGACAGCCGCAAAUUCAGAGAAAACAAAGCUGGAAGCAGAAGAGGAUCAUGGGAUCAAGAGUUUAGGAACAGGG